rnacentral:lncRNA from 1 species
ACAGUUCUCUUCCUCAUUUUUUUGCGUUCGCGUGCCCUAAUUGUAAUGAAGCUCAAGUUCUGCCCAGAGAAGACUUAUUUUCAGGUGAUCUUUUUUCAACGGAAGGAAACUUACCCGCUAAGUCGUUUGAUUGAUGAAGCUCAACUUCUGCCCAGAGAAGACUUCGAUUUUCAGGUGAUCUUUUUUCAACGGAAGGAAACUUACCCGCUAAGUCGUUUGAUUUUCAGAAACGGGUUUACUAACCCAAUGUUUGCUAAUUAGGUUGGUGACUGGAAAAAUGUUUUUCAGAAAAUAUAUUUUGUAAAUUAGUAAUAUUUGAC